rnacentral:RNase_P_RNA from 1 species
GGAGCCGGGAAGACCGUUGCCGUCCUGCACUCAAUUUUGGAGACCAGAUAGUGCAUAUCCUGUUCUGCUGCCAAUGAUUGAGUGCCGGGGGGAGGAAAGUCCGGGCUCCCCAGGGCAGAACGCUGGGUAACACCCAGAGGGAGCGAUCCCUGGAAAGUGCCACAGAAAGGAAACCGCCGGGCACUCAGUUUGUCAAACAGGACCUGUGCCCAAUCAGCCAUCCUGAAAUGACAAACUGAGUGCCGGGUAAGGGUGAAAGGGUGGGGUAAGAGCCCACCAGUUGCCGUGGCGACACGGCAGGCUUGGUAAACCCCGUUCGGAGCAAGACCAAAUAGGAGAGUGAUCGAGGCUGGCCCGGCCGAAACUCUCGGGUAGGUCGCUGGAGGCAGGGAGCAAUCCCUGUCCUAGAGGAAUGACGGUCCACGUACAGAACCCGGCUUACUCCCGGCUCCGUUU